CCGCGCCAUCCCGCCCCCGUACAAAAAUGGACGUCCGUGCGCUAUGUGCACCCGGGGGUUCGGGGCCGACACUACCCUACCUCAACUAGAAUUUACAAUAUGGCAGUGAGGCUUGUUGAUGAAUCAUACAUUCGUUUAGCUACCAAGAUGCAACAUGCCUAACGAGAGUACAACAAGAACUCGCCAUCACGGAAGCGACAGAUUUCGAAUAUUUAUAAAAAUAACAUUUGCGCCGUGAACCAAAAUGUUGUGGUAUAUGAUUUCCUGUUCGUGUGCAAAGUACAUCAAAGAUCCCUCUUUUCACUGGCAUUACCAUAACAUGUUUCUGGGACAAUAAAUUAUUUGUAAGAAAGAAAGAAAUGAAGAUCCCAUGUCGAAUAUUUAUAUGGCCUGUGUACUAUCAAUAAACUAUGAAAAAAACUACAAAGUUUACAAAGAUAGUUCGUCAGGCGAACGUCAGUUUUAAAACGAAAAUUUCAUAUAUUAUAACACCAUUAAAAAUGGAAAUUUGUUUCUUUGUAACUACUAAUGAAAUAAUCUGGUUCAAGUUAUAUAAGGGCCAGUAAUUGCUCCCCCCCCCCCUUCCCCCGCCCCAACC